CUCACACCAGCGGCUGCUGUCGCUUCACUUCACGCGAGCAGCUUCCAACCAGCAGUGACAUUUCAUGACACACACCAACGAGAGUCAACACGAAACAGCACUGUGGGGCCACUUGUUCGACUGGUGGAAGCAGGAGAUCACGAUCAUCUGAUUAAGCAACAAGCCGCUUCCUAAAGUCAGUGAAAGGUCCCGAUGGAGCAAAGGCUUCUGGGUAACCUCCGACCUCAUUUGUGUCUCUUUUUGGGGUCAUAUUUUAGUCUCUUGUUUUUUUUUCUCCAUUUUCACAGUCGUGAUUUUUCUGCCAAGGCCCCGUAAAGGAGUAUUUCCUAUUUUCCACCACUAGAAUUCCUAAAUAAUCUCUCUAGAUAUCCGUCUGUAUGCAUCCCAGCGUGUGUAGGAAACGGUGCGUGCAGGGACAGAGGUGACCACCAGGCGGCGC
ensembl:lncRNA